rnacentral:rRNA from 1 species
UUGUCUCAAAGAUUAAGCCAUGCAUGUCUAAGAAUAAGCCCCAGUAACAGGCGAAUCCGCGAAUGGCUCAUUAAAUCAGUCAUAAUUUAUUGGAUAGCGAAUAAUCCUACUCGGAUAACUGUGGAAAAUCCAGAGCUAAUACGUGCAACGAAACGUCGACUCGUAAGUGAGAAGGCGUGCAAUUAUUAGAAUCGAACGUAGCCCUUCAUUGGGCUUCUUCGGUGACUCCGGAUAAUCUUUAAGCCGAGCGCCAGGCCUUUGUUUGCCAGCGCCGUAUCCUGUAAGUGACUGCCUUAUCAGCUUUCGAUUGUAGGUUAAAUGCCUACAAUGGCGAUAACGGGUAACGGGGAAUCAGGGUUCGAUUCCGGAGAGGGAGCCUGAGAAACGGCUACCACAUCUAAGGAAGGCAGCAGGCGCGUAAAUUACCCAAUCCCGGCUCGGGGAGGUAGUGACGAAAAAUAACGAUGCGAGACUCAACCGAGGCCUCGCAAUCGGGAUGAGACGGACGUAAACGCUCCGUCGAGGACCUAGUGAAGGGCAAGUCUGGUGCCAGCAGCCGCGGUAAUUCCAGCUUCACUAGCGUAUCCCAAUGUUGCUGCGGUUAAAAAGCUCGUAGUUGAAACUUUACGAGGGCAGGUAAGGAACGUUCCGGGUGCUCCCUUGGGCGCAGGGGCUCCGUUGCGGCGUCGAGAUUCGUCUCUUCGCUCCUCGGUCGUCGCUCGUCCGGGGUCGCCCAUCGAACUUCCCCCUUUGGCCCGAGUAACUUAAAACCCCAGUCGAUUUCAGGCGGGAUUGCGCUUCAUCGCGUGGCCCCGCUAAUCGACGAUUUCACUUUGAUAAAAUUGGAGUGCUCCAAGCAGGUCGGUUGAACCUGAACAGUGGUGCAUGGAAUGAAAGAAUAAGAUCUGGUUUUGGCGAUUAUUCUUUCGAGUAUUGUUCUAAACUAGAUAAUGAUUAAGAGGAACAGACGGAGGCAUCCGUAUUGCGACGCUAGAGGUGAAAUUCUUGGACCGUCGCAAGACGAACUAGUGCGAAAGCAUUUGCCGAGAAUGUUUUCAUUAAUCAAGAACGAAAGUUAGAGGAUCGAAGGCGAUCAGAUACCGCCCUAGUUCUAACCGUAAACGAUGCUAACUAGCGAUCCGCCGGCGUCAUUCCCACGACUCGGCGGGGAGCCCCCGAGAAAUCGUAAGUCUUCGAGUUCCGGGGGAAGUAUGGUUGCAAAGCUGAAACUUAAAGGAAUUGACGGAAGGGCACCACCAGGAGUGGAGCCUGCGGCUUAAUUUGACUCAACACGGGGAACCUCACCAGGCCCGGACAUUGUUUGGACUGACAGAUUAAUAGCUCUUUCUCGAUUCAAUGGGUGGUGGUGCAUGGCCGUUCUUAGUUGGUGGAGCGAUCUGUCUGGUUGAUUCCGAUAACGAACGAGACUCUUACCUACUAACUAGAUGAGAGAGUAAUCUAUUUCCUUCGGUUUAUCUUUCCGGUCGCGGGCGGGAGAUGGAAAGCCUCUUUCGGGGGGCCGGUACUCUUUUCGUUCGUUGGCUGGGGGAGGCCUUCGGAAAAACUCCCUCCGAUGUAAUGAUCUUCUUAGAGGGAUAGGCGACGCGCCAAGUCGCACGAGAGAACGAGCAAUAACAGGUCUGUGAUGCCCUUAGAUGUUCUGGGCCGCACGCGCGCCACAAUGGAUGUAUCAACGCGCUAAUAUUCAGUUAAUCCUUCUCCGAAAGGAGUGGGGAAUCGCUGAAACGCAUCCUCAGUUGGGAUUGGGGCUUGCAAUUGUUUCCCAUGAACCCGGAAUUCCCAGUAGACGCGAGUCACCAUCUCGCAUUGAUUAAGUCCCUGCCCUUUGUACACACCGCCCGUCGCUACUACCGAUGGGACGAUUCAGUGAGGUCGUCGGACUGGCGCCUUCGCGCCGUAACACGCGCUUAGGCUGACGGAAAGACGCCCGAACUCGAUCGUCUUAG